rnacentral:lncRNA from 1 species
UGUUAAUGGAUGUUCUCUCACAUAUAAAUAAACGCUUAAGCCUCGGAAUCAAGGGGAAGUGUCGCAAAACCUUUUUGGGUACUCUUUUGCGGCGAGUGGUUGAAGAGCUCGGCUGGUUCUCCAUGGAAGUCUUCCAUCGUGAAGCAUUGCAGACUCUACAUGAAUCUAAGUCUGUAUCAUCCUUCCAGAACAACAUGCAA